UAGAAACAGGGGAGGAUACAAGGUAACGGUCUCCAGGGGCUGUGCCAUCGGGGUCUACAGUCUUAGUCACACAGACUGUGUUUGACUAUCUAGUCGAGUAGGGAGGAGAAAUGAAGUAGGGAGGCGGCGAAGGCCCAUCUUCAGGCUCAGCCCCCAGCACUCAGCCUGUAAAAUCCGGGCUUCCUGUGUGACAGAAGAGACCCAGAAAAGAGCUUGCCUACCUGGUAAAUGAGCUGCGAUUUCCAUCCCAGGGUUCUGGCUCCCUGUCUACCAACCUGUGAGCCUUAUCACACUGCACCUCCCCAAGGUGGACAUGUCACUGUCACUUCAUUAUGAACUUUACAAUCUGGCUAGGAAAUUCAUGUAGAAAUGCAAGCCAUCCACAAUUUUGUCAAAACAAUUUUGAAAAGAAGUACAAAGUCAGAGGACUCACACUUCCCAAUUUCAAUAUUUACUAUACAGGGCCUUUCUGAAGCACUCCCUGCCCCAGGGCCCCUGAAGCCAUGCUGCACAGUGGGCACCGACAGACAGCAGCUUCAGCUACGGGGUCUCCGUGACCGGCUCCCAUCGAUGAACAGAUCUGGGGCAGAAUAGAAGCAUCUACACACUCACAGAACCACAGGAACACAGAAGGGCCCUGACAAUUACACUCGGGGCUGUUUUAAUCUUACGCUGUGCAUUGGGAGGUCAUUUCCUCCUGGUGCCCACGAAGCAUUAGGGGCUUGGAGCCUCGCAUUGUCAGCUGUGUAAUGAAAAUAGAUGUUGAACACUAAAACAUAAACA